AUGGCCAUGUUAUGUUGAAAUACCAGUUCUCAUCUGAUCACUGAAGUUAAGCAACAUCAAAUCUGGUCAGUACCUAGAUGGGUCACCACUUGGGAAUAUAAGGUACUGUAAG